rnacentral:rRNA from 1 species
AUGAAUCCCGUCCCCGCCGCCGACGACGACGGCCACCGCCGCUCGCCUUCACCCGGCGCGCCCGCCCCGGACCCAUACGACGGCGGCAGCGGGUGGGGGAGCGACAAGCAGCCGACGCGCGCGGAGGAGGGCCGCCCCGUCGGGAAGGCCGGCAUGGAACCCUCGCCGUCCACCAUCUCCGACGACGGCGGCGACCAAGAAGACGGCGGCAGCGACGACCUGACGCGCGCCGUGUCCCUGCUGUCGCUCGCGGAGGCGGGGCUCACCCUCACCGCCGGGAAGCCUGGGUCCGCCCCCCGCACCGUAGAUCCGUCGCCGCCGGCCUCCACCGUCUCCUCCCAUGGUCACCAAGGUACCCAGCCGCAUUCCCCGCUCAUCACACCUGCGAGUGGUUCCACGCGUGGCUCGGAACCAGAUGACGAUGAUCUCGCCGGCGUGAACAAGCGAACGCACGCGAGGUUCCUCGUCACCCACGCCGAGGCCGGGCUCAUCAUCGGGGCGGGCGGGUCCACCAUUGCUGCCAUUGAGGCCCGCUCCGGCGCCCGGGUCAGGCUCUCCCGCCACGACCAGCUCCUCCCCGGCACUGACCGCAGGGUUGUGCUCGUCUACGGCCUCCUCAGCCAGGUCAUGGAGGCCAUGGAGCUACUCCUCCAAAGGCUCCUACUCUACCAGGUUCAGGGUGACCAGGCGUCCGACUCUGAGGCCACGCUAGUGCUGGUGGUGCCUCAGCCCUGCUGCGGCGCGCUGAUUGGCAAAGGAGGAUCUGUUAUCAAGUCAUUCACUGAAGCUUCAGAAACUGCAAUUCAGGUCUCACCACAGAACAGCUCCUAUGGCUUCAACGACAGGCUGGUCACCAUCACAGGGCCCUUGGAUAAUCGAUUGCGAGCAGUAUUUCUGAUAAUAUUCGAGCUGCUAGAGGACAUUCGUUAUUUGUUUCCCUGUGCAGCUGCUAUGCCAAACACUCCAAUGAGAUCACCUGUCAACAAGGAUGCCCAAGAAUCUGUCACUAUUAGUGUUGCUGAUGAGCAUAUGGGUGCUGUUAUUGGUCGUGGUGGAAGGAUUAUCAAUGAGAUCAGCAAGGUUAGCGGAGCAUGGAUCGACAUCUCAGGCAAGGGGGAGUUCAUACCCGGGACCCGCGACAGGGAGGUGACUAUGAGGGGCACAUCAGAGGCGAUCCGCGCAGCUGAGGCGAUUAUCAUGCACUGCGUCUCCGUGGCCAGCGGCAACUUCACGGGGCGGAGGGCGGAGGGCAGAAGUGGCAAGGGUCUGCUUAGCAGGCUGGAUGAGGAGGAUGCUGAUGCAUCGGCUGAAUCUGAGUGA